rnacentral:rRNA from 1 species
UACGUAGGUGGCGAGCGUUGUCCGGAAUUACUGGGCGUAAAGAGCGCGCAGGCGGCUAGUCAAGUCCGACGUGAAAUCUCCCGGCUUAACUGGGAAAUUGCAUCGGAAACUGAUCGGCUUGAAGGUGGGAGAGGGUAGCGGAAUUCCCGGUGUAGUGGUGAAAUGCGUAGAUAUCGGGAGGAACACCAGUGGCGAAGGCGGCUACCUGGCCCAUUCUUGACGCUGAGGCGCGAAAGCUAGGGGAGCAAACGGG